GAUUAAGGUUUUUAUUUUUUAGGGAUUUUUAAAAGUAUUUAUAUGUUUAAGUAAAAUUUAGAAAUGAUAGAAUUUAUUAUAGAUAAUUAGUACAGUGAUGGGAUAUUUUUAAAAUUAUAUAAAGAAUACAUUAUUUGUGGUACCUUUUGUAUCAGGGUUUAUUAAAAAGAUACUUUGAGUAUAAGUUUUCUCGAAUUUAUAGGAGCUAAUAAUAUAUAAAUUUUAAUGUUGAAUAAUUAUUUAUAAUAUAUUAUUGGAAUUAGACGUUAGUCGGAUUUAAAUAUAUCUAGUUUUCUGAGAAAUUAAUUUAAUUAAGCUGAUUUUAUGAAUAAUUUAUUUUAUAAAUGUAUUCUGAAAUCAAGUAAUAUUUAAGGGGAUAAGCUUUUAAGUAAAUUUCUAUAAGUUUAGGAUAUUUAAAAAUUGAGUAGGAAUAGAAGUUUUCAUUUUUUGUUGUGUUUUAUAGCAAGAUUUUUAUUAAAUUGAUUUGGAUGUUUUUAGGUUUUUUAUCAGAGUGUUGGAUGGAAUUUAAAUUUUUAAGUAAUAAUGAUAAAAUGAGUAUAUAUUUAUGUUUAUUAAAUUAAUAAAUGAGAGGUUUAAUUAAGUAAUUCGGCAAAUAUAUUUUCUGCCUGUUUAUUAAAAACAUGGCCUUUUGGGAAUAAUUUAAGGUCUGGCCUGCCCAAUGAUUAAGAUUUAAUGGCCGCGGUACUCUGACCGUGCAAAGGUAGCAUAAUCAUUAGUUUUUUAAUUGAAAGCUGGUAUGAACGGUCUUACAAGAAAAUAGCUGUCUCAAUUAAAUGGUUCUAGAAUUUUAUCUUUUAGUAAGAAAGCUAAAAUGUUUUUAAGGGACGAGAAGACCCUAUAGAAUUUUAUAAAUUUUUUUAGAUUGUGUUUUUGGUUUAGUUGAUGUGAUUUAGAAUAAUUUAUUUUGUUGGGGUGAUGGAAAAAUUUAAGAAACUUUUUUUGAUUGUUUUCACUGAUUUGUGUAUUAAUGAUCCGUUUAGAACGAUUACAAGAUUAAAUUACCUUAGGGAUAACAGCGUUAUUAGUUUGGAGAGUUCUUAUCGAUAAACUAGUUUGCGACCUCGAUGUUGGAUUAAAAUUAACUUUAGGUGUAGGGGCUUAAAAGGUUAAGUCUGUUCGACUUUUAAAAUUUUACAUGAUCUGAGUUUAAACCGGUGUGAGCCAGGUUGGUUUCUAUCUUUAUGAAGAUAUUAUAUUUUAGUACGAAAGGACCAAGUAUUAAUUUUAAAAGUUGAUUAUAGAAUAUUAUU
rnacentral:rRNA from 1 species